CUACGGGAGGCAGCAAUUAGGAAUCUUGCGCAAUGGGCGAAAGCCUGACGCAGCGACGCCGCGUGACUGAUGAAGUCCUUCGGGAUGUAAAGGUCUUUUGCAGGGGAAGAAGGAUGUGACGGUACCCUGCGAAUAAGCCCCGGCUAACUACGUGCCAGCAGCCGCGGUAAUACGUAGGGGGCGAGCGUUGUCCGAAUUUACUGGGCGUAAAGCGCGCGUAGGCGGACUUUUAAGUUGUGGGUGAAAUGCCGAGGCUCAACCUCGGAACUGCCUGCAAAACUGGGAGUCUUGAGGUAUGGAGAGGGAAGUGGAAUUCCUGGUGUAGCGGUGAAAUGCGUAGAUAUCAGGAGGAACACCUGUGGCGAAGGCGGCUUCCUGGCCAUAUCCUGACGCUGAGGUGCGAAAGCCAGGGGAGCGAACGGGAUUAGAUACCCCUGUAGUCCA
rnacentral:rRNA from 1 species